AAAAAAAAAAAAAAAAAAAAAAAAAGGGUCUUUGCUGUCACAAUUAAGCCUCUCAACAUGAGAUCAUCCUGGAUUGUUUAGAUGGGCCCUAAAUAUCACAACUAGAGUUUUGUUGUUGUUGUUGUUGGUUUGUUUCUUUGUUUUUGUGACGGAGUCUCACUCUAUCACCCGGCUGGAGUGCAGUGGUGUGAUCUUGGCUCACUGCAACCUCCACCUCCCGGGUCCAAGCGACUUUCCUGCCUCACCGUCCUGAGUAGCUGGGAUGACAGGUGCCCCCACCACACCCAGCCUAAUUUUUGUAUUUUUAGUAGAGACGGGGUUUCACCAUGUUGGCCAGGCUGGUCUCGAACUCCUGACCUCAAGCGAACAACUAGCAUUUUUAUAAACUACAGAAGACGGUGGCUAUUCAUCUGCCCCCUCUCUCCUGGGUAUUUGCGUGUCAGGUGCAGAGAUGGAGUCUUCUGAGGGCGCACAUCACAGCGUAGACAGAAAGUUGAGGUUGUACAUGCCGCAGGUUCCAGAUGGAAAUCACUAGUGCCUCCUCUUCUCUCUAAUAGGCACACUAGACACAGCAGGUGCAUUUUGGCGGUGGGAUGAGGUCCGACAGUCACCUUUAUUUUUUAUUUAUGUAUUCAUUAGUAUUAUUAUUUUUUGAGACUGAGUCUUAAACUGUCACCCAGGCUGGAGUGCAGUGGCGGCAUCUCGGCUCACUGCAACCUCCACUUCCCAGGUUCAAGGGAUUCUCCUGCCUCAGCCUCCUGAGUAGCUGGGAUUAUAGGCGCCCAUCACCAUGCCCAGCUAAUUUUUGUAUUUUUAGUAGGGACGGGGUUCGCCAUGUUGGUGAGGCUGGUCUCCAACUCUUUUUUUUUUUUUUUUUUUUUUUUGAGACGGAGUCUCGCUGUCUCCCAGGCUGGAGUUCAGUGCCUCAAUCUCGGCUCACUGCAAGCUCCACCUCCCGUGUUCUCGCCAUUCUCCUGCCUCAGCCUCCCCAGUAGCUGGGACUACAGGCGCCCGCCACCACACCUGGCUAAUUUUUUGUAUUUUUAGCCAUGGGGUUUCACCAUGUUAGCCAGGAUGGUCUCAAUCUCCUGACCUCGUGAUCUGCCUGCCUCGGCCUCCCAAAGUGCUGGGAUUACAGACAUGUGCCACCACGCCUGGCUAAUUUUUUGUAUUUUUAGUAGAGAUGGGGUUUCACCGUGUUGGCCAGGCUGGUCUCGAACUCCUGACCUUGGAUGAUCUGCUCGCCUCGGCCUCCCAAAUUGCUGGGAUGACAGACGUGAACCACCGUGCCUGGCCGACAGUCACCUUUAGAAUGUGAACAGUGGACACUGUGUUGGGGUCUCCUACCUGUGCCUGUGAUGUGGACUGGCCCAUCUCGUCAUGGACAAGUAGAGAUGGGGUUUCACCAUGUUGAGCAGUCUGGUCUUGAACUUCUGACCUCGUGAUCCACCCGCCUCAGCCCCCCAAAGUGCUGGGAUUACAGGCGUGAGCCACCGCGCCCGGCCUGAGACGGCUUUCCAAGGCUGCAGAAAUGAAGUCUGCAAUAGCAGAUCCUCUUUGCCUGGGUUUGCACGUGAUCCAGCAAACCACCCACCGACCCGUUGCCUCAUGUGAGACAUCCUCAGGGAACAGCAAGAAUUUUGAAGGUCCCUGAUAAGACAUCUUUGAGGUCAGGCAUAAAUCAUCACUUCACAUCUUGACGGCAAUGCAACGAAGACAAGUAUCUGUCUCUUUGGGUCUGUCUAACAAGGAGCAAAGCCUGGCCUCCCACCAGCAUCCAGACAAUAGUGGAUUCCCUCUCCAUAGAUGUCAAAAAAGAAACAGAUGCUCCCGCAGGUGAAAUGAGCUCUGGUCCACAAUGCAACGCAGGCUGUGCAGAAAAUCAAAGAGGAACCAACCCAGAAGUAUCCCCCAGGACAAAUCAUUAAGGGGGAAAAGAUAUAAGAAGGGCCCUAAAUGCAAUGACAGCUGUUCUAAGAGACAGAAGAGGAGACGCAGACACAGAGGAGAAGGCCACGUGUAGACAGAGGCAGAGACUGCAGUGAUGUGGCCACAAGCCCAGGGAUGCCUGGAGCCCCCAGGAGCUGGGAGAGGCAGGAAGGAUCCUCCUCUAGAGCCUCCAGAAGGAACUGGAUACAAUUGGAAUGGGUUAUAUGGUGAUCCCCAAAAUAUAUGUUUAUUUCCUUUUCCCCAGAACCUAUAAAUGCAAUCUUACUUGGAAACAGGAUCUCUGCAAAUGUAAUUAGUGAAGGAUCUUGAAAUAAAACCUGUCCUAGAUUAGGGGGUCCUAAAUGCAAGGACAGGUGUCCUUCUAAACACAGAAGGGGAGACCCAGACAGAGGAGAAGGCCACAUGGAGACAGAGACUGGAGUGGUGUAGCCACGAGCCCAGGAAUGCUGGGAGCCCCUGGGA
rnacentral:lncRNA from 10 species